rnacentral:rRNA from 1 species
UACGUAGGGGGCAAGCGUUAUCCGGAAUUACUGGGUGUAAAGGGAGCGUAGACGGUAAUGUAAGUCUGGAGUGAAAGGCGGGGGCCCAACCCCCGGACUGCUCUGGAAACUAUGUUACUAGAGUGCAGGAGAGGUAAGCGGAAUUCCUAGUGUAGCGGUGAAAUGCGUAGAUAUUAGGAGGAACACCAGUGGCGAAGGCGGCUUACUGGACUGUAACUGACGUUGAGGCUCGAAAGCGUGGAGAGCAAACAGG